rnacentral:rRNA from 1 species
GACAGAGGAGCCAAGCGUUGUCCGGAGUAACUGGGCGUAAAGCGCACGCAGGUGGUUCUGUGCGUGGGGUGUGAAAGCUCUCGGCUUAACUGAGAGAGGCCACCUCAUACGGCAGAGCUCGAGCCCGUGAGAGGUCCACGGAAUUGCCGGUGUAGUGGUGAAAUGCGUAGAUAUCGGGAGGAAUACCAGUGGCGAAGGCGGCUUCUUGGCCUGUUCUUGACGCUGAGGCGCGAAAGCUGGGGGAGCAAACGGGG